rnacentral:lncRNA from 1 species
GGAGAGGAGAUACGGUUCUUAAUGUCACUGGAAGAGUGGAAGAGUAGGAAUCGUCCUGAAGAUUCUUCUGGAUCAGCAACACACAUGAAGGCCACAGCAAGCCACAGAUGCCAUUGGGUUUCCAACUCCCUGCUCUGGUUCUCUCAACUCCCUGGUACUUCUUCCAACAUUGGUUCUCAUGAAGAAUGGCAAUCGUCAGCAUUCAUCUUAUCUAAGUCAGUUAGAGUAUAUUUUCCAAAAGGUCAUUGAAUAUUUGAGUCCGUUUAAAAUUAUUGUGAGAGUCACUUUGUAAAUAGAGUAUAAGAGCUGUUGUUUGCCAAGUGUGGCUGCAUUAAGUUGAUUAGAUGCUGAAAUGCAUAUGCUAUGGAAACAGAAAAUAAUAUGAAAAAAUAUAUAGAUCUUGUUUGAAACAUUUUGAAUCUGCUACUCUGAAAUAUAGUACCUGUACCUGCUGCAACAAUUUCAGGGCAUUCUUUUUCUUUUCUUUUUUAAUCAAUUGCUGUUUUUGGCAAAGACUUUCUUACUUCCUAAUUGCCGUAAAUUUCUUUUCUUGUUAAAGACAAGUUUAACAAUUGAAUUCAUUAUCUCAGAAAUUAACAAAGACUUUAAUUUUUUAGCAACUGUUGAUUAGUGCUGUGCUCCCAAGGAAGUAUUAAUCCUAAGAAAUCCUCUGUAAAAAUAUUAUCCAAUUAGGUUCAGUUAAAAGAAGACGAAAUUUCAGAUUUGGGAUUGGAAGGCUGUUACAAAUUGCUAUGGACUAAAUUAUAGUCCCCCACAUCAGUUCAUGUGUUGAAGCCUUGACCCCCAAUGUGAUGAUAUUUGGAGAUGGGGCCUUAGGGAGGUGAUAGGUUUAGAUGAGUCUAUGGGGGUGCUGCUCUUGUGAUGGGACUAGUACACUUAUAAGAAGAGACCAGAGAGCUUGCUCUCUCUCUCCAUGCACAUGUGGAGAGGAAAAGCCAUAUGAAGACACAGCGAGAAGGCAGCUGUCUACAAACCAGGAAGAGAGCUCCCACAAGGCAUUGAAUCUGCCAGCAUCAUAAUCUUGAACUUCCCAGCCUCCAUAACUGUGAGAAAUAAAUGUCUGUUGUUUAAGCUACCCAAUCCAUAGCAUUUUGUUACAGCAGCUCAAGCUGACUAAGAGAGACAUUCAUACAUGAUGAUCAUAUUUGUGAACACUCUGCGGGUCCAAGUUUUUUAAACUUCAAGGUAGGAAAAAAAAAAUCAGCCAAUGUAAGAAUAGAUCCCAUUUCUUAUUGGCCCAAAUCUAAAUGCUGACCAAUCUGUCUGUGUUGUCAUGAUCUUACUAGCAUGCCCUGAAAAAGAUUAAAAAUAAAAACCAACCACUCGGUAUUGAAAUUUUUCAUAUUCUACAUGUUAGCCCUUUGUGAGGCAGUGGGCAUGCAAUGGUCAAUAAGACACAUGUAGCUCAAGCUGUCAUUGUGCUAAUAUAUCUGUUAGGGAGAAAACAUGAAAAUAGGCAAUUACAAGAAUAAGUGCUCUGAAGGACAGGAUACAGGGGGAGCGCUAGGAGCACCUGCGAGGAGAAGGCAGAGAAGCAGAGGUUUAAGGGUGAUCAAAAAUCAGAAGCAAAAAGCAGGAAGAGUUCCAGGCAGAGAACUGUUUGAGAAACUGAAAUAAUUCUUCUGUAGUUAGCACAUAGAGUUGAGACAGAAUAUCAUGAGAGAUGAACCUGAAAGAGUUUCCCAUGUCGGGACUAUGCAGGGCCUUCUUAGCCGUGGGAGUCUGACGUUUAUUUUGAGGCCGCUGAUGAAGCACUUGGUAACAACUUGGUUAUAUUUGCAUUUUAGAAAGACUGUUCUGGUUUCUGUGUGAGAUGGAUUGGAACAGGGUAAAAAAGGUGACAAUGGUACCCAGUACCUGGAAGGGUUAUAGCAAUCCAGGAGGAGAUGACAGGCAUGGGAAGAACUGGGUAGAAUUGAGAGAUACUAAGAAGCUAGACCCACUUGGUAAUUGAUUGGAUGUUGAGGGGAGGUGAGAGAGAGGGAGGAGUGGAGGAUGACCUCUGGAUAUCUGACUGUCGCAUGCUAAUGACAGGCCAAAUAAAAUAGAAGGUAAAGUAUCCACUGGACUUUGUCAUAGAAAGGUCUGUGAGGACCUUGAUGAGAACCAUCCCAGGAGCAUGGUGGCCAGACUGGAGUGACUGAAGGAGUCAGUGGAAGGCAAAGAAAUGGAACUAAUUAGGGAGGCCUAUUCUUUUUUUUAAAAAAAUUUGUGUACUUAAUUUUUAAUUUUUAAAAAUUUUUAACUUUUAUUUUAGGUUUGGGGGUACAUGUGAAGGUUUGUUAUAUAGGUAAACAUGGGUCAUGAGGAUUUGUUAUACAUAUUAUUUCAUCACCCAGGUGUUAAGCCCAGUACCCAAUAGUUAUCUUUUCUGAUUCUCUCCCUCCUCCCACCCUCAAGGAAGAUCCCAGUGUCUGUUGUUUCCUUCUUUGUGUUCAUAAGUUCCUAUCAUUUAGCUCCCACUUGUAAGCAAGAACAUACAGUAUUCAGUUUUCUGUUCCUGUGUUAGUCUGCUAAAUAUAAUAGCCUCCAGCUCCAUCCAUGUUCCCACAAAAGGCAUAAUAUCUCUAUUUUUUAUGGCUGCAUAGUAUUCCAUAGUAUGUAUGUACCACAUUUUCUUUAUCCAAUCUGUGUCAUUGGUAGGCAUUUAGGUUGAUUCUAUGUCUUUGCUAUUGUGAAUAGUGCUGCAAUAAAUAUUCACAUGCCUGUGUCUUUGUGGUAGAAUGAUUUAUAUUUUUCUGGGUAUAUAUCCAAUAAUGGAAUUGCUGGGUUGGAUGGUAGUUCUGCUUUUAGCUCUUUGAGGAAUUUCCAUGCUGCUUUCCACAAUGGUCGAACUAAUUUACACUCCCACUAACAGUGUUUAAGUGUUCCGUUUUCUCUGCAACCUCACCAGCAUCUGUUACUUUUGACUUUUUAGUAAUAGCCAUUCUGACUGAUGUGAGAUGGUGUCUCAUUGUCUUGAUUUGCAUUUCUCUAAUAAUCAGUGAUAUUGAGCUUUUCUUCAUAGGCUUGUUGGCCACAUGUAUGUCUUCUUUUGAAAAGCGUCUGUUCAUGUCCUUUGCCACUUUUUAAUGGUAGUAUAAAAUUUUUCUCUUGUAAAUUUGUUUAAGUUCCUUAUAGAUUUUGGAUAUUAGAACUUUGUCAGAUGCAUGGUUUGCAGAUAUUUUCUCCUGUUUUUUAGUUUGUCUGCUUAUUCUGUUGAUAGUUUCUUUUGCCGUGCAGAAGCUCCUAAGUUUAAUUAGAUUCCAUUUGUCAGUUUUUGCUUUUGUUGCAAUUGCUUUGGUGUCUUUGUCAUGAAAUCUUAGCUCAUUCCUAUGUCCAGGAUGGUAUUGCCUAGUUUGUCUUCCAGGGUUUUUAUAGUUUUGGGUUUUACAUUUAAGUAUUUAAUUCAUCUUAGGUUGAUCUUUGUAUAGGGGUCCAGCUUCAAUCUUCUGCAUGUGGCUAGCCACUUAUCCCAGUAUCAUUUAUUGAAUAGAGUCUUUUCCCCAUUGCUUAUUUUUGUCAGUUUUGUCAAAGAUCAGAUGGCCAUGGAUGUGCGGCCUUACUUCUGGGCUCUCUAUUCAGUUCCAUUGGUCUGUGUGGGGAGGCUCAUUCUUUAUUGGAGCGCUAUUCACUGCAAUGCACCGUCGCCCAUUUUCCACGUGGUAUAUAAGGAGGACAGAAUAAUGUUGCUGGGCACAUGGACUUCUAGAAUGGGAUUCUGUGAUUGAUGAUGUUUCUCUUAAUUUUAUGGAUUGGGAUGUGGUUGAGGGAAAGGGGAUUUUUGACAAGUUUUCACUCAUCUCCUUCCAACACUGCUGUGCAGGAUCAGAGUGGCCCAGCUUAGCAAGUGCUUACCACCAGAAGCCCUGGGUCCUGCUUGUUGCCUCCAAUGGAAUUCAAAAUACAGAGAUAGGACCUGGUUGACCAAACACUUGCUCAACCAAUCCUCUUGGUUUGAUCCUAGGGAGGGUUAGGAAGAAAUAUGUCUCCCCAAAGAAACUGAAGAACCCCUCAACCAGGGAAGAGUCAUUUCUGC